rnacentral:rRNA from 1 species
AGGCUCUUGAGUGAGCCAGAUUCGUUAUGUGCCAGAAUAUCAAGAGCAAAAUAUUUUUCAGAGGGCAACCUCCUUACGUGCAGCUUAAAGAAGGGCAGCUCUGACACCUGACAGAGCAUUUGGAGUGGUAUUCAGACCUUCAAAAGAGGUCAUAUAUGGAGAGUAGGAGAUGAGUCUCAAAUAAAUAUAUGGGAGGAUUCUUGGGUACCAAGCAGCCCCACUUGGAAAGUCAUGACACCAAGGGCGAACAUUGUAAUUACCAAGGUGUCGGAACUCAUUGAUGCGGAUAAUAGAGCUUGGGAUGAACAGCUAAUUAAUGAUCUGUUUUGGCCAAUUGAUGCACAAAUCCUCAACAUUCCUUUGGCUCUAGGGAUGAUGGAUGAUUUUGUUUUUUGGCAUUUUAACAUAAGCGGAAAUUUUACGGUGAGGUCAGCGUAUCAUGAAGAAUGGGAACACCAACACGGACGAAAGUUGAGGAUGACAAAUUCGAUACAAGCCUCAAGUACUAGUCUAGUUUGGAGGACCAUUUGGAAACUACAUGUGUCUUCAAAAGUGAAAAUUCAUGUGUGAAAAACUUUGCUUGGAGCUCUUCCAUGUCAAGGAGUCUUAGCGAACAGACAUAUAAUUUCGAGUUCCCAAUGCCCCUUAUGCAGUUCAGAUUGUGAAAGCAUCCGGCAUGCUUUAUUCUUGUGCCCUCGUGUACAGGAGGUGUGGCGUUUACUAGGUAUGGCAGCGGUGGUGAAUGAGGUGUGCAUGGCGGAAAGAGAGGGUGGCUUGGUGAUGGCUGACCUCCUCUUGUCCAAGAAUCCAAUUAAGGCAUUGAUUAAUGAUGUUCAGCGCAAUGACCUUGUUGCCACAGCUGUGUGGUACUUGUGGUGGGAACGACGCAGAUAUACACACGGCGAGCAACUGUACGAGCCUACCAGAUCGGCACAAACAAUAUCGACACUCGCAAAAAAUUACUCAAGAGCAAAAUUCAAGCACAACAGAAUUAGGAGACAUGGCUGGGAGAAACCACCAGAGGGCACAAUCAAGCUGAAUGUGGACGCAGGUUUCAACAUUGACAGUGGCACUGGCGCUACAGGUGCUAUACUUCGAGACCACUCCGGUUUCUUUGUGGCGGCAUCUUGCAGCAAUAUCCCUUUUGUUGAAGAAGCGGCUACGGCGGAAGCAUGA